CAGUCGCCGCGGUAAUACAGAGGGUGCAAGCGUUAAUCGGAUUUACUGGGCGUAAAGGGCGCGUAGGUGGUUAUUUAAGUGAGAUGUGAAAGCCCCGGGCUUAACCUGGGAACUGCAUCUUAUACUGGGUAACUGGAGUACAGUAGAGGGUAGUGGAAUUUCCGGUGUAGCGGUGAAAUGCGUAGAUAUCGGAAGGAACACCAGUGGCGAGGGCGGCUACCUGGACUGAGACUGACACUGAGGCGCGAGAGCGUGGGGAGCAAACAGGAUUAGAUACCCCAGUAGUCCCUGUCUCUUAUAC
rnacentral:rRNA from 1 species